rnacentral:rRNA from 1 species
UACGUAGGGUGCGAGCGUUAAUCGGAAUCAUUGGGCGUAAAGCGCACGUAGGCGGUUCGGUAAGUCGGAUGUGAAAGCCCUCGGCUUAACCGAGGAAGUGCAUCCGAAACUGCCGAGCUUGAGUACGGAAGAGGGUCUCGGAAUUCCCGGUGUAGAGGUGAAAUUCGUAGAUAUCGGGAGGAACACCAGUGGCGAAGGCGGAGACCUGGGCCGAUACUGACGCUGAGGUGCGAAAGCGUGGGGAGCAAACAGG